GUCAACAGCAGCACUCUCACAGCACAGGCACAGUCUGAAUUAUGGUAGUUGUAAAAAAAUGUUCCAGGAGCUCUCUCUGGUGUCCUGAAGGACAAUCAUCAAAUUAUUUUCCAAUCAGACUCAGUAGAAGGAAGAACACAGUUUAGUCAUCUGAUCCCACAAGUCAGAGAAAACAUAACGAGUGCUCCAAGCAGACCAUUGUCUACUGGGACAUGACGCUGACCACGCACAGCUUCUACAUGAGGCUGCAGGGCCUUCGGUGAUGUCUCAGUGUUUUGGGUCCAAGGGUCACGCACAAACGACACCAUCAACAACUAACGGAUCUGAUGCUGUGUGAAGUGAGCAUGAUGGCUUCCCUCCUACUCCCUGUAUGCGCAGGUCACACAGUUUCUGCUACAGGAGUAAGUGGAACUACUGCCUAAGCCUCGACCGUUCUGAAUCCUGUAGGGAAGGAGAAGCAGCAGCCCCUGAGACUCGCAAACCUCUCUCCUUUGGCUCUGCUGUGAGACUGAGGCCCCAGGCACCCUGUGUCUCAAGGCUGUACCUCUCUCUGGAUCUUCCAUCCAUGGCAUCCUCACGCCUUCCUCUCAGACAGGAUACCUUUUCUCCUGCACAUAGUCUCCGCAGAGGACCCACUUAUCCUGUACCUAAGACACUGGGUACAGGCUGAGCCUCUUUCAGGGGUCCAGAAUGAAGGGCCACAUAUCCCUUCUCCAUGUCAGCAUGUCCCUGUGCUGUGAGAACCGUGCGUCUGGAUGGCCCUGAUCUCAAACAGAUUGUUUGACACUGAUCCUCAGCCCUGAGCUUGGAAAUGUGGUUGCCAAACCACAGGGCUCUGAGGCCCCUUCCAGGCAAAUUUCGGGACGUCCAGGGGAUUGUAUGCUCAUGGUGUCCCUUUCCUCUUAAUGGUUUUGUGACUCAGAAGUUACUUUUUAAGCAAAGAGAAUUCUGUAUGCUUCUUGAGUAUAAAGGGCACAGAACGAAAUAAAGGCAAAAAACAUCUUUGGGAUCCAGAGAAUAAGCUUUCAGAUAUGUGAGUUCAUACACAUAGAAAAAAGUUAAAACCAAGCAAUAUGAAAGUUUAAG
rnacentral:lncRNA from 1 species